rnacentral:rRNA from 1 species
CAGUUGAUGGCGCGGCCUACAAUGCAGUCUAGCGGAUGAAGGGAGCUUGCUCCUGGAUUCAGCGGCGGACGGGUGAGUAAUGCCUAGGAAUCUGCCUGGUAGUGGGGGAUAACGUCCGGAAACGGGCGCUAAUACCGCAUACGUCCUGAGGGAGAAAGUGGGGGAUCUUCGGACCUCACGCUAUCAGAUGAGCCUAGGUUGGAUUAGCUCGUUGGUGGGGUAAAGGCCUACCUGGGCGACCAUUCGUAACUGGUCUGAGAGGAUGAUCAUUCACACUGGAACUGAGACACGGUCCCCACUCCUACCGGAGGUAUGACUGGGGAAUAUUGCACAAUGGGCCAAAGCCUGAUCCUGCCAUGCCACGAGUGUGAAUAAGGUCUUCAGAUUGUAAAGCACUUUAUCUUGGGAGGAAGGGUGACAACUUAAUACCUUGCUCUUUUGACGUUACCAACAAAAUAAGCACCGGCUAAUUUCGUGCCCUCAGCCGGGGUAAUACGAAGUGGUGCACUCGUUAAUCCUAAUUACUGGGCCUAAAGCGCGCGUACGUGGUUCAGCCCCUUGGAUGUGAAAUCCCCUGGCUCAACCUGGGAACUGUCUCCAAGACUACUGAUCUUCAGUACGGUUGAGGGUGGUGGAAUUUCCUGUGUACCGCUGAAAUGCGUAGAUGUUGGAAGGAACACCAAUGGCGAAAGCUACCACCUGGACCGAUACUGACUCUGACGUGCGAAAGCGUGUGGAGCACACAGGAUUAGAUACCCUCGUUGUCCACGCCGAAUACGAUUUCGACUAUCCCUUGGGAUCCUUGAGAUCUUACUGGCACUGCUGAACGCGAUAAGUCGACCGCCUGGAGAGUACUGCCCGCAUGGUUAAUACUCAUAUGAUAUUGACAGGGGCCCACACAAGCAGUGGAGCAUGUGGCUUAAUUCUUAAGCAUCACGGAUAACCCUCACCUGGACUUGACCUGCUGAGAACUUUCCAGAGAUCGAUUGGUGCCCUCGUGGCCAGACACAGUGCUGCAUGGCUGUCGUCAGCUCGUGUCGUGAGAUGUUGGGUUAAGUCCCGUACGAGCGCACCCUUGUCCUAGUACCAGCACCCUCAGGUGGGCACUCUAGAGACUGCCGUGACAAACCGGAGAAGGUGGGGAGGACGUCAGUCAUCAUGGCCUUACGGCAAAGCUACACACUGCUACAUGGUCGGUACAAGGUUGUCCCGCCGCGGGGGGCUAUCCAAAAACAAAUGGAUUCGAUCGAUUGCACUCACUGCGAUGAAUCGGAAUGCUGUAUUCUGAUCGAAGUACACGUUAAUCACAUAUCCUCGGGGCGCGGUG